UGGGGAAUCUUGGACAAUGGGGGAAACCCUGAUCCAGCAAUACCACGUGUGUGAAGAAGGCCUUCGGGUUGUAAAGCACUUUAGAGGGGGAAGAAGCAGCUUAUACUAAUAAUAUAAGUCUGUUGACGGUACCCCUAGAAUAAGUACCGGCUAACUCUGUGCCAGCAGCCGCGGUGAGACAGAGGGUGCGAGCGUUAAUCGGAAUAAUUGGGCGUAAAGGGCGCGUAGGUGGUAGUUCAGGUUUGAUGUGAAAGCUCUCGGCUCAACCGGGAAAGGGCAUCAAAUACCAAAUUACUAGAGUGAAAGAGGGGACUGCGGAACUUUCGGUGUAGCGGUGAAAUGUGUAGAUAUCGAAAGGAACACCAGUGGCGAAGGCGGCAGUCUGGCUUUAUACUGACAC
rnacentral:rRNA from 1 species